rnacentral:tRNA from 1 species
CGGGAAGUAGCUCAGCUUGGUAGAGCACUUGGUUUGGGACCAAGGGGUCGCGAGUUCAAAUCCUGUCUUCCCGA